UACGGAGGGUGCAAGCGUUAUCCGGAUUCACUGGGUUUAAAGGGUGCGUAGGUGGAUCGGUAAGUCCGUGGUGAAAUCCCCGAGCUUAACUCAGGAACUGCCGUGGAUACUAUCGAUCUUGAAUACUGUGGAGGUAAGCGGAAUAUGUCAUGUAGCGGUGAAAUGCUUAGAUAUGACAUAGAACACCGAUAGCGAAGGCAGCUUGCUACACAGUUAUUGACACUGAGGCACGAAAGCGUGGGGAGCAAACUGG
rnacentral:rRNA from 1 species